CAGUCCGCCGCCUCCCUCCGAGCGCAGGACGCUCCGACGCCCGCUUGCCCGCAGGCCACCGCAGCUACUGUCUAUUUUUUUUCCUUCCCCAUAAGCCUAAGGUGUGGGGAAGGCUCCCUCUCUGGAGGAGCAGGUCGGAAGACCUCGGUGCAAAAGCAGGGACCCCCUGGCUGACCCUGUUCUCCCUCUGCAAAAUAAAGAUCCAUAUAAAUGGAACCUUCUGAAGAUAGUGAGAACAGAGAAGAUGCCAUUUGUGGACUGAUCAUGGGAUGGACGAGUGGGAGAAGGGAACCCCACCGGUGCAGAACCGUGCCACUGCACCCAUAAGACAGCCCGAGGCUCCUGGCAGACCCGUGACUGAAAGUGGCAACUCCCUCUGGACUGUGUGAGGGCCAGGGGUGAGAGGGUGACAGCAGGAAGAGGCCACCACCCAAGGACAGCUCUGAGCCGGAAUCCUGGAGGAAACGUUAUUAAUAAACAUCUUCUGGACAUUUGGCAGCCCGUGGAGCUUGCUCCAGCUUAAAGCAAUUAAUUCAGGACACCGACAUCAACUCUCCAGGUCUUUGACAGCUUGGAGCCGAAAUAAAAAUGCUAGUUCUCCGGGGAAGAGGGGAGGAGGGCCCGCUCUUUGCUGGACUGUUUGCUUAUGGGCCCAGCGAGCAACCUUCCCUGCAGAAUGAAAUGCAAGGUCGCACACAACGAACCGGCAGAGAAUAGAAGAUGGGAACGAACAGUUUGAACUAUUUGCUCAGCAGAAGGGCACCACAAUGCUGGGGUAGUGGCUUUCCCAUGCAUCCACUGUCCCUUCUUUGGGAUCUUUUGUUGUCCCGUCUCCUUUGGCCAGAUAAGAACACAGCUGCAGCCUUGUGGCUAAGUAAGGCUUCACUUAUCCCCUUAAAUCUCGGGGUGUCUUUUACUGUACCAGGCAUAGAUCAGUUCUUUCUUUUGACCAGGGGACUGGGAGGGAGGGAAGGAAGAAUUGAGGGGGAGGGAACAGACGGAAGACUCUCACAUUGCUGAUGUCUGGUUCAUGCCUUUCUUUCUCUCCUUUUUAAAUCCAAGCUGGGAUAAGAUGUGAUCUUUGUGGGCCAGUUUUAUUAAAGGGUCAGUGUUUUGUGCCAAAAUGUUGCCUCUGGGUGAGAGCUGUGUGUGUAUGCUGUGUAGGGAAGAGUAGUUUUUAAAACUGAGUGUCAAGCCAUUUUCAGAUUCCGUCAGCUGCUAAAAUAGGGCAGAAUUUGAAGGAGUUAAUUUAAAAAUUAUUCAACUGCAAUAGUAAGUUUCUGAAUAUGAAUUUGGGUUCUUCCUCUGGCAGUUCAUUUGUUCCAAAGUGUGUAAUGGUGGUGUAUCAUAUUCGAAAGAGGUUGACCCAGAGAUGGGGCAUAAACGUGCUUCUGUACUUGCUGGAAAUUACACUUAUUCCCAGAGUAAAUUCCACCUCCAGCAUCAGUAAUGUGCUCUCUCCUACAUGCACCCUCGUACAAAGCACAGCUUGUUUUAACCACCACAAAAGAAAGUGGACACAUGCAUAGCCUUCCGUUUAUAUCGAAGUUGACAUUUCUGAAGUUAUUUUAAAGACAAAAAUUGAACUGAGUCUUUGUGCUGCUGGAUGCUGUCUUCUGACUCCAUGGACUUUACCACUAGUUGGGAGUGAGGCUCCUCUGACUCUUAAUUCUAUUGUAAUAAGGCUGAUUUAGCAUGAAUGGUCUUACAAGGUGAAAAGGCAAAAAAAGUUUUAUGCCAAAGAAAAUGCUUUGCUAUGAGUGCAUGAAACAUUCGCCAUCCAAAGUCCAUGUGCUCCCAGUAAGUUUGGGGACUUUGAAUGCUUGAAUGUCUGUGUCACGUCUGUUUUCCCACUAACAAAACUGGUAGGGAAAAACCUCUUCCCUAUGAUUUUUUCCUGCUGGGUGGUCAGAGGGAAAGGCCAGGAAGCCAAAGGCCUCCCAUUGAGACACUCCUCUGUAAGAAGCGACCUCACAUGGUGCCUCUGGGGCACCUGUUCAUCUCUGCUCACUGUGGGGGUGUGCUGUGAGCCCAGCAGCCAGAGGCCACGUGUCAACUCCCACUCCUGCUAGAGGGCUCUCCUGCAGGGAAACUGCCACCAACAACAUAGUCACCACACACGGCCUCUAAACUGUACACAGGCAGAGCUGGGAAGUGAUUUUGAUGGCAGUGAGUAUUAUAUGAGUACUAUAUUCAUGUGUGUGUGUGUGUGUGUGUGUGUGUAGGGAGAAAGAGAUAUCUUUUGAAAGAGACAUUUGCAAAUGUUUGAUGACAUUUAUGAACAGACCAAAAUAAAGACUCGUAUCAUACUUUCUUCUUAUACUCAAGAAGCAUUAGUGACUUCCCUGUACCUCUUGUGCUAAGUACAAAUAUCUCCUCUUGACUUUUAAGACUUAUCUCAGUAUGAGUACUCAAUUUCUUCACGUUCAUGGCUCACUUCUUAUCCCUUUACUCUCUACAGAAUAGUAAAACCAAAACAUCUCCUGCCAUCAGAACAUAUUGUUUCUUCACUUUCAAAUAUUUUCUUCAUAUGGUUUCGUCCCUCUUUAUAAAAGAGACUGGGAAUUACACAGCAAGAUGGCUUUCCCUACUCCAUCGUGGCUAGAGCCUCUGCAAGGGCUGAAGCCCUUUGAUCUUGGCUUCAUUUGGAUACAUUUCAAGGGAAUCUGCUCUUUACUGAUGUCUACAUCUGCUGGAGUCUAUCCUUUUCCUUGAAUAGUUUCAUGCACAUGCCAUGCAUGCAUGCAGAUGCACAUGUCAUCUAAUCAACACCGUGACCCAGGCUCUGAAGCCUCUGGCCCUAAGAAAACUACCUUGUGCCUCUUUGGUAGGCAAGUGCCUCCCACUUCAAGUCUCUGUCAGUCACUGAGCUGUUUUCUAUCCUUACAGUAUUGUUUUUUCAGAAAUGUCAUGUAAAUGAAUCAUAUUAAAGUAGGCUGUGCGCCUGGCUGGUUUGCUUAGUGAAUACAUUUGAAGGUACUUUAUGUUGUGGCAUGGAGUAACAAUCAGUUCCUUUGUGUGGCUGUGGAGUAUUCUAGUGCAGGUAUGUACCAUGGACUGUCCAUGCAUUCAUCACUUCAAGGACAUUUAUGUUGUCUUUAUGUUUGGGUAAUCACGAAUACUGACAUCAUAGACAUACAGAUCUAGUGAGGCCGAUUUGUGCUUAAACUUAGCAAUGUAGGAGACUCUUAAACUGUUUUGGAUGUUAUGUUACUCUCCCUGGCAGGGAGUGCUUAUAACUUCUAUGAAUUGGUAUUUAUACUACUCAAGCAUUGUUCAAUUGUUCUAAUAUAACCAUGUUAGUUUUGCUUGGUUGUUUCGUAUUUCCACAGUGACAAAUGGUGUUGAAUAUCUUUGCUCUGCAUCUAUGUAUAUUUUGUAAGUAAAGUAUCUUUUGGGGUCCUUACUGAGUUGUUUUCCUGUAAUUGAAUUUAUGGUUAUUUUUCACAGUGUUUGCUUAGGUAGACUAGGCUGUCCUUGAACUCAUAAUCCUGCUGUUUUGCCCUCACACGUACCAGGAUUACAGGCUUGUACCACCACAAAAAGGAAGAGUUUAAUAUUUUUAGUUUUUUUAAAGAAUUUGGGUAAAUUCUCUGAUGCAAGGACAAACAUUUCUUACCCCCUGCUAGGGGUGCAUCUUAACAGAGUUGUGUUAGAAUAAGAGUGUUUUAUUUGAAAUCCAACUUUUCAAUGUUUUCUUUCAUGUUCUCUGUUUUUGAUGACCUGUUAAGGAAUAUAUAACCCAUGGGUGUGCUACUAUGUGCCUGGAAUUCUCAGGAGGCCAAGGCAGAAAUCUUGCAACCCUCAAGCUUAGCCUGGGCAACACCCAGACUCUGUCUCCAAAGCAAACAAUGACCUCCAAAGAUAACACUGUUUUUCUAAUUGAGGUGGAAGAAGAAAGGAACAGAUGAGGACUUAAAAUGAGAAAGACCAAUGUAGAAAUCGCAGGUGCCCGAUAACCGACUGAGCCACAACCUUGCAAGGAGCUUUCUCUCUGGAGUGCUGGAGUGCAGUCUGGGUGAACACAGCUCCUCCAAGAGGCUCGAUUACUUUGUAGGGAGAGAAUGUCUGGGUGUAACUGUAUUUGCACCAUCCAUAGAGUAAAAGUUUCUUGACUCUUCAUUCAUUAAAAAAAAAAAAAAAUCCCUUGGUUUAAUGUCAUGUGUGGGAUGUAGUGGGCCAUGCUGACCAGCUGCCUCAAGGGAGAAGAUUCUCGUGCCAAGGGAGACCAGUCCAGUGGCCUUACUGGCUUUGGGCAAGUGCUGAAGUUCACUCAUUUUCUAUUGGUUGUUUCUCCCCAUGAAAGCUUCCAUGAUGACUUUGCAUCCCCCAGCUUCUGUUUUGAGAUGUCGAAAUGAGGAUGAGACUGUGGCUAUCUCAGACACACCUUCACAAUGUUUUCUGAAGGCAUCUACUCAGGUGACAGAGACAUCCUUGAAAUGGACCUUCAAUCCUUGCCCUCAGCCACACAACUUUGCUGGAUUGCAAAAGAAAGCAGCAGGUUGCUUUCUGUUUCCCAGGCCUAUGACUAUACACAUACAGCAAAAUACAAUUAUUGACUUCGAAAAAAAAAUCCAGGCAGAGGGACAUUUGUCUGAAAUGGUUGGAUCUCAAAGAUUAUGGGUUUUGAUUGUUUUCAGCUUCCUUCCUGUGUCACUGGGAUAAUAUUCUAAAAGCUCAGAUCUUGGACGGUUGACAGUGAACAAUGAUCACCCCAUGCUUUCUAAUCGGUACAACAUGAUGGCAAGGUAUGAACCAACACAGAUGGGUUCAGUUUCCAAGUGUGAUGAUGGAGAUGGAAACGGGCAAGAGGAGCUGCAGGGAAGGUGUGGAGAAGCACGCAUGUACAGGACUGGUGAUCCCCGCGGGCGUGGCACCUGUAAACAAGACUAGAAACAUGUCUUCAGUGAGAGGAGGGCAGCUGCUCUGACAGGUGAGGUGUAUCUUAGACAACCCAAACAUACUCUGAGGACGGCAGUUCAGAGAUGGAGAGGAAAGCUUUGGGGCACAGAAAGAGAAACGGUGGCUCAACUGUCGAGUAUAUAGUUUCUCACCAGCAUCUGUGAACCUGAUGGCCUCCUAAGUGGCUCCUUCUGGAACAUUCCCUCACUGGAUACCAUGUACCCUCUGACUCUCUUGAAUCUUUUGUUCCAAAGCACUUUUAAAUGAAGGUGCCUUCAAGCUCCUGUGGAUCGUAAAGAUCUGAACAAGCUGGGACAAAGAUAUUAAGCUGAUACCCUCAGGCCUGAGGGAAUGGCUUACGUGUAUGGGAACCUUUUUCUCCUUUGGGGAUAAAUGAGGACGAAGAAGUCACAUGGGAAAGACAGCUUCUACCAUCAAGUCAGUGAGGUGUCCCGACAUUGAACAUAAGUGGUGUGGAAUAAUGUUAAGCUUCUCUGAUGGGUCCUAAAUGGUUGAAGAACACCCCUCAAGAGAUGGGAAGAUUCUAAGAGCCAGAGAGAAUGGAUUACUCCAAGGCAACACAAUGGGACUGAUGACCACAUGAACUCUUAGAGACUGUAGCAGCUUGCACCAGGCCUGUACAGGUUCAAGCCAGAUGGGGUUCCAGCACUGAGAGGGGAAUUGGACAUGGACGUCUACUCCUUACUAAGAAGCUCUCUGCAACUGAUACCGACUUGCAAAGGAAAAUAGUUUUCUCCAAUGAAGUACCACUGAGUAUAUUAACCAUACUUCAAGGUGCUUACAGACUAAUGCUUAUGCUACAGAGAGCAGAGGUAUGUGGAGCCUGACUGUGAAACUCACAGAAGACCUAUGCAACCAUGAGUAACUCCACUUCUGGAUAAUCCAGUGCCUUCUUUCUGACCGCCACAGGCAUGAGGUAGUGUGCAUUUUCUCCUGAACUGCCACCUAGUGUGCACACAUGGCUCAGCCUUCUGCAAACUUUUGGCCAAGGGAGAAAGCUCAGAGCUUGGCUGAUAUGCUGGACUCCCCAAAGUCUCCAGGUCUCCAGGGACGGUGCCUGUAACUUACCUGAAGAGGAACUGGUAGACAAGUCAUCUGAAAACAACUGAGGAAUCCUGCCCUGACCUAUCAGCUGUCUGCUGCCUCCCAACUCUUGCAGCCUUGGGAGAGGCACAUUCACUUGGAAAUGUGAUGAACAGGUGUCCAUUUACUUUGGAUUCAGGCCAAAGAGUCAAGCCAAUGUCAUUUGUAAGGCACAAUCAUUUUAAGUUCAGACCCAUGAAGAUCUUUUCUUGUACUUUUGUCUGAAUUAGAGAAACAACUUA
rnacentral:lncRNA from 1 species